rnacentral:hammerhead_ribozyme from 1 species
GUCCAGCUGACAAGUCCCAAAUAGGACGAAAUGCGCGUCAAACUGGAU